AUCGGCGGGUAAGCUUCACA
rnacentral:misc_RNA from 1 species